rnacentral:rRNA from 1 species
GAUGAACGCUGGCGGCGUGCCUAAUACAUGCAAGUCGAGCGAGCAGACGAGGAGCUUGCUCCUUUGAUGUUAGCGGCGGACGGGUGAGUAACACGUAGGUAACCUACCUAUAAGACUGGGAUAACUUCGGGAAACCGGAGCUAAUACCGGAUAAUAUUUCGAACCGCAUGGUUCGAUAGUGAAAGAUGGCUUUGCUAUCACUUAUAGAUGGACCUGCGCCGUAUUAGCUAGUUGGUAAGGUAACGGCUUACCAAGGCAACGAUACGUAGCCGACCUGAGAGGGUGAUCGGCCACACUGGAACUGAGACACGGUCCAGACUCCUACGGGAGGCAGCAGUAGGGAAUCUUCCGCAAUGGGCGAAAGCCUGACGGAGCAACGCCGCGUGAGUGAUGAAGGUCUUCGGAUCGUAAAACUCUGUUAUUAGGGAAGAACAAACGUGUAAGUAACUGUGCACGUCUUGACGGUACCUAAUCAGAAAGCCACGGCUAACUACGUG